UGGGGAAGUAUUUGCACAAUGGGGGAAACCCUGAUGCAGCGACGCCGCGUGAAGGAAGAAGUAUCUCGGUAUGUAAACUUCUAUCAGCAGGGAAGAUAGUGACGGUACCUGACUAAGAAGCCCCGGCUAACUACGUGCCAG
rnacentral:rRNA from 1 species